GAAUACCCAAGCCUGGGAUUACCCAGAUUAGUCCCCAGUUUUGGGAAUAACAUGGUUAGAUCCAGCCAUUAAUCACUACAUCAACAACAAGUAGCAUCAAUUUGGCUCAAAGCCAUCUUCCUUCUCUAUCUCUGCAACUUGUUGGCGGACAUGGUGGUCCUGAUUCAUUGGAUCUAUUGAGUUUUCCAUGAUCAAUUUUCUUCUUGUGUUUACAGCUUCCAUUCCCCUAUCUUCUCACUCUGUCAUCAAAUUUUAGGGGGUUUGGUUUGCUGUGAGUAGUAGAGCUUCCUUCGUUGUCUUCCGCAAACCCGCCGCUCAUGACUUUCACUACCGUCUCGUUAAGCAGAACACAUUGAUUUUGAGAGGGAUUCGAGGAUUGAUUGAAGUUGGAAAGAUUCUACUAGGAUUCGUUGAAAACAUGGGAUUUAGCCACAGUAAGAGACCCUAAGGAUGACUGAUGUUCAGAUUGGUGAGAAGUAAAUAUUGAGAAGGUGUGAGCUUCAAGGCAAAGGCUCUUUGUGGUGGUUGGUAGAGGAGCUGUAGGUUUUGCUACAAUCUGAGGGAUUGAUAGUGUGCUUAUGUGGAAUUCAUUGCAAUUAAGUGGACUUGAGAAGUAUUAGUGCACUUUGUUAUUAAUUUGAAUUGCUGAUUGGAAGUCCUUUCGAACCAGAGCUUAAUCCUGUGAGGUGGAGUCUUUGUAUGAGCUAUAUAAGAAAAUAAGCAGCUCUGUAGUUAAACAUGGCUUAUACACAAGGGUGCUCGAUAUUACCUACCUUGUGCUCGUGCUGUAAUAAAAUACGUCAUUCUGGCUAUGUCUGGUCAUAUGGAUGAUAUCCUGGGAAAGUAUAAGGUCAGGAUAAUCAGGGCUGAAGCUGAGGUAGUGCCUUUGCAGCUUUAUGGUAUGAAGCCAUUUUUGUGACUUUAUCGUUGAUAAGGACUUCCGUUGUGUAGUUAGCUCUGAGAAGCAUUUACGUUUUAUUUUGUUGUUGGCAAUUUAAUUAGUAAGCAUUGUAAUAUAUGACUCUGUGGAGCGGGUCAAUAUUGACAUAGUGGGUUCAGGGCAUCAAUAUGUACUUGGGUUAAAAUGGAAAAAGUUUCUAGGUAUUUUGUAUUGAUGGCUGAACGUUUACGCAUAUGUAAUUAUGAGCUUAUAUAUAUAUCGAUUUUCAUGUG
rnacentral:lncRNA from 1 species